GUGGAACCCAGAAAAAAGGAGCGCUGAGCGGUAGUUUGUACCGUUGAGUGUCAGAAAAUCGACGUCCACCGCUCGGGCGGUGACCCUGGCCACCCAAGCGGCGGGGCUCAAAGCUUGGGCAGCCAAAUUGAAGGCCCGAGCCUUACAUGAGGUGCUUUCACCGCUUGGGCAGUCUCCCUGGACGCCUGUUGGGGCAAAUCGGCAAGUGUACUGAGUAACACAAGUAAUAUAAAAUGGUAAGACCAAGUAUUGUAUCUCAGAGGACUCUCGGCGC
rnacentral:lncRNA from 1 species